rfam:TPA: Bos taurus chromosome 26, whole genome shotgun sequence.
UCCCUGGUGGCUUAGAGGUUAAAAGCGUCUGCCUGGAAUGCAGGAAACCUGGGUUCGAUCCCUGGGUGAGGAA